rnacentral:ncRNA from 1 species
GUGUUGUAACAAAUGAGAGGAAGAUGGAAAACCCUUUAAUGAAUACGAAAGUCUGUGAACAGAUGGAAAAAUGGAUAUGAAUAUCCGUUUUCCUUCAACGGAUGUCUAUAUCUAUUUUUUUUU